rnacentral:rRNA from 1 species
GACGAACGCUGGCGGCGUGCUUAACACAUGCAAGUCGAACGGAAAGGCCCUGCUUUUGUGGGGUGCUCGAGUGGCGAACGGGUGAGUAACACGUGAGUAACCUGCCCUUGACUUUGGGGUAACUUCAGGAAACUGGGGCUAAUACCGGAUAGGAGCUCCUGCUGCAUGGUGGGGGUUGGAAAGUUUCGGCGGUUGGGGAUGGACUCGCGGCUUAUCAGCUUGUUGGUGGGGUAGUGGCUUACCAAGGCUUUGACGGGUAGCCGGCCUGAGAGGGUGACCGGCCACAUUGGGACUGCGAUACGGCCCAGACUCCUACGGGAGGCAGCAGUGGGGAAUAUUGCACAAUGGGCGGAAGCCUGAUGCAGCAACGCCGCGUGCGGGAUGACGGCCUUCGGGUUGUAAACCGCUUUCGCCUGUGACGAAGCGUGAGUGACGGUAAUGGGUAAAGAAGCACCGGCUAACUACGUG